UUGAAAUUUCAACUUAGGGGUGGAGGAACCAACAAGCUUUGGUAUGUUUGUUAGCAACUACCAAAGCUUUGUCAAGGUUUUUUGACACACAUGGACGACCUAACAUCGCCCCCAAAAUGAAGCCAAAAUGCUGGUCAUAAACCCCGCCUCCACCAUGUUAGCGGAAGGGUGUCAAACUAAAAUAAGUUCUACUCAGAUAAAAUUUUCUCAAACAUGCUUUAUUUCAUUAUCAGUAGUUCUCAUCAGGCUGAUUUGUGUUCAAGUGGUCUCCUUUCUCAUAAGUUUGAUUCUAAUUACUAACAUAAUGCUGUUAAAUUGGGGUAUAACGUCAUCAUGACCGCUUUGACUGGCAGCUGCAAUCAUGGAGAAGUUUGCAUAUGUCUGUUCUGCAAUGGCAGAUAGAUCAGGGAUGCUGAGAGGAGGUCCACGCUCCAAAACCACACCGACUGUUUCAAACUGUAUUUAAAUACAUUUAAAAAGCAUCAAUAACUCAAAGAAGCUGCCCUCAGACCUCAGCACCACCCAGUGACAACAGACAAAUCAUCCUGUAUGUUCACUGUUUGUAGAAACUCCAAAAUUAACUUUUGAAAAAAGUACAAAGUCUAAAGUACCACAUGAUGUGAAAGUUGCAGCUUUUUAAAGACAAAAAAAUCUAAGGGAUUAAUCAUCCAUAUAACAGUUUCACUAUAUAGGAGCAUAAACACUACCUCAGUUGGUUUUUCAGAGAGCUGCUGAUCUCAGACCUGCACAGCUUCUCUUUUAACACUGAAAGUACUCAACUGGUUCCUUAUUCUACCUUAAAUGUCACGUAUAUUGACCGUUACCUGCAAUGUCACAUAGUGCAUAUUUACACUACCCAGCUGGUUGUGCAUUGUGCUUCUGGCACACUAGAGUGUCUCUUAUUUGAUAAUUAAAAAUUUGGCAACCCUAGCUCGGGGUUAGAGCUUAUCCCAGCUAUCAUAGGGUGAGAAGAGGGGUACACACUGGACAGAUCACCAGUCUGUUGCACAGCUAAUACAGAGAGACAGACAACCAUUCUCAUUCAUAUUUAUACAUAUGGGUAAUUUAGAAUCACCAUUUAACCUAACCUCAGUAACUGCAUGUCUUUGGACUGUGGAAGGAAGCCGGACUACCUGGAGAGAACCCACAUUUAAUAUGUUAGUUUAAAACGUAAUGUAGACUCUGAUCAAGGGACAAGAUUUGAGAAUCAUCCACUGGGCUAAUAAUGUUUAUUUUCCCUUUAAAAAAAAUGAACAGUACAAAUAAAACAGCAUGUUAAGUCACUGCUAUCUUUUUCCUCUUCUUUCAGCUGCUCCCUUUAAUGUUCGCCACAGUGGAUCAUUUGUCUCCAUCUCACCCUAUACCCAGCAUCCUAAUCUGUCACACCAACUGUCUGCGUGUCCUCCUUCCCUAAAUCCACUCUGUGUUCUUAUUUCCUCCAUAUCCACUAUCUCUUCUUUGCACAAGUCCUGAUCUGAGCCUGCCUCGCUAACUUUGACUCCAAAACACUCUACCUGAGCCGUCCUUCUGAUAUACUCUUGGUCUGGUCACUCCCACUGAAAAUCUUACCAUCCUCAGUGUUGCCUCCUCCAGCUUCACCUUCACCAUCUCCAAACCACACAUA